GGAAACAUCAGUGGUCCCACGAAGCUAUACUUGGCUGCUUCCAAUCUACUUAAUUGUUUCGCUAGGAUGCUAUGGUCUUCUCAUGGUUGGAAGUGGUUUAAUGUCUUUCCAACAUGCCCUCAAGAAGCUGUACUACUGCCAAAA